CGAUCUUUACCCACUGGCCAUGUGCUUCAUCAGUUCUAAUGCUCUGAGAGCACAUCCAUUGGAGUGGUCCUACUAGCUAGCACGGUGCACUGGACACAAUGGACCAACACUCUGACUCAGGGGAAAGAUUACUGCAUACUGCUACUGAAUCUCAACAAGCUGAAAUGGCUACAAAUUCUCCUGCAAUUCUCGUGCACUUUGACCUCUGUGUUUACAGUUUCCGCUCAGGUGGCUUUGCUGCGUGUCGUCUUUAUGGUCAGAGCCAGUAAUGGACGCAAGCUAGCUCUGAAGAGACUGGCAGUGAACAAUGAUGCUGACGUCUACCUCACUAAACAAGAGAUUGCUGUCACCAAGGCUCUGUCUGAUUGCUCGUAUUCUGUGACAUACAUUUCAUCCAUUACUAAGCAGAUAUCCAGUGAUGUACACGAGGUCCUCAUACUAAUGGAGCUAUAUACAUGCAGCAGUGAAAUCUCUCUCAGUCCUCGAUCACCAAGAAUGCUGGUUUGCAGAAGAAGUCAGCGAAGGAGAUGAUGUGUUCCUCCUUGCCCUGCCCUUUGCCUCUGAUCGAGAGUUGAGGGACAAGAGCCUUUCCUUCGAGUGGAGCAAGAGAAGACCCAGAGUUAGAGGGACUGAAAAUGAAUUGGAAUUCAAGGCCUCGUCAAAGGAUCACUUCAAAGGCUUUACCUCCAGCUCUGAAACUGAGACUCUGACGUCAAUGGCCUGGAAUAUUCUCAGAUCCAGUUAAUUCCAGAAGCUCAGUUCCUUUGAAGUUUGAAGGGAUCAGGUGCCGGAUAUGCCACCUGACCCGUUUGAAGAAGAAGCUCAGUGUCUUGCUGGAAGAGGUGAGUUGCUUGUAGCUUGUUAGACUGGCGGCGACAGCAAACUGUCUAUCAGUCACUCGUCUCAGCUGCAACGAGCAUUGCAGCCUAUCAGAUUGCUCAACAUCAUAUUAGCCCUGUAAUUGUAACCGCACUUACACUUCAGGGGAUUCAGUGCAUUCCAUAGUAGCUGAAUCUCAUAGCAAAAUUUAACCACAUUAUCUAUAACGAUAUUCAUGUUUAGUAGUGUCAUACGAUCUAUUAGUAGCUAUUAGUAGCUUUAUGUUAUGUAGCUUUGGUAUCUCCACCGAGGCAUCAGCACCUGCGGUGCUUUCAUUGUAUCUAGAAUUUGUAGUACUAAGAACCCUUCAUCAUCUUUCUUUGUGUGUACAGAGUAUUGCUGGAUCACAGAUGCGUGUGAUUCUCAGGUGGUGGAGCAGUCAACCAAACGUACGUGUCACAAGAAACAGUCUGAUGUUGGGUUUCCACCAUGGCAAAGCCAGACACCACACUCGUUACAUCUGUCAGUCCUCUUGUUGGAGUCCUUCCAGCAGAACGCACACCAUCCCCGUUUACAUCUCUUUGCAGGUGGUUGCAGGCACAUUUUGAGAGGAAAGUGUUGGAGCUGAAGAGGGCGCUGGACUCUACUUGAGCGGCCUGGGAGUCUCCUUGAAUAGUACGUGCCAAUCAGCUCCUUGGCCAGUUGGAGGCGGAAGUCUUUUACGUUUUGAUUCGGCUUGGAGGCAUUCUUAAACCGUCUCUCUGACGCCUGAGAACGGAUCUCGUUGCUACUGGUUGCGACGUCGUUGAGAGGACCGUGAGCACCUUGCUGUUGUGCCAUGCACAUGCCACCAGUGGUCCCUUCUGGAAUAUCUUGGAUUCUCCUCUGUCAAAGUACCUCUUCUUCAAACCAUGUUUCUUCAGUCCUGGUGGUAAACCUUUCCUAUCCCUCCGAACUACACCACACCCAUAAAUACCAUCCUUCUCCAUAUCUUCAAGAAGUUUGGGGCUCGUAAAAAGUUGUCAAAGAAAACGUGGUGGUUUUUCUUCUUCAGCCCGUCGGGUUGUACAAAGCUUCGAACCUCUCAACCAGGUGCUCAAUGAGGGGGCGGACCUUCCCUAACCGAUGGUACGAGGGAUCACCUCGUGGAACAAGAUGAGGAUGGAGAAUCCGAAGAAGGCCCGGAGCUCUUCAACUACCAUUGUUAAAAAAUAGCUGAAACACUUCUUCUGGCCUCUCUGAGAUGUCCACUGUUGGUCCUACUGCUGACUCAAAUGACUUGAUAGUCAGGGUGUGCAAUUCACUCCUCCAGGUGGUUGCUCAUUGCCUAAAUAAAUGUGAGGGUAAUAAUAAUUACCUGUACAUUAGUUUUGUGUGGCAGUCUAACUGAUUGUAAUUGUACUUCAUAACAUUGCACAAACCGUGUGACGAGUUGCUUGAACCACUUGUGUCGUCGUCACUUGUGUCGUCUAGGAAAGGAUUUAUCAAUAGCUGGUACAAAUUGUUAACCUU